rnacentral:rRNA from 1 species
GACGAACGCUGGCGGCGUGCUUAACACAUGCAAGUCGAACGGAAAGGCCCUGCUUUUGCGGGGUGCUCGAGUGGCGAACGGGUGAGUAACACGUGAGUAACAUGCCCUUGUCUUUGGGAUAACUUCAGGAAACUGGGGCUAAUACCGGAUAGGAGCUCCUGCUGCAUGGUGGUGGUUGGAAAGUUUCGGCGGUUGGGGAUGGACUCGCGGCUUAUCAGCUUGUUGGUGGGGUAGUUGCUUACCAAGGCUUUGACGGGUAGCCGGCCUGAGAGGGUGACCGGCCACAUUGGGACUGAGAUACGGCCCAGACUCCUACGGGAGGCAGCAGGGGGGAAUAUUGCAGAAUGGGCGGAAGCCUGAUGCAGCAACGCCGCGUGCGGGAUGACGGCCUUCGGGUUGUAAACCGCUUUCGCAUGUGACGAAGCGUGAGUGGCGGUAAUGGGUAAAGAAGCACCGGCUAACUACGUG